UACGUAGGGUGCAAGCGUUAAUCGGAAUUACUGGGCGUAAAGAGUGCGUAGGCGGCUAUGUAAGACAGAUGUGAAAUCCCUGGGCUUAACCUAGGAACUGCAUUUGUGACUGCAUGGCUAGAGUGUGGUAGAGGGAGAUGGAAUUCCGCAUGUAGCAGUGAAAUGCGUAGAUAUGCGGAGGAACACCAAUGGCGAAGGCAGCUCUCUGGGACGGUACUGACGCUGAGACGCGAAAGCGUGGGGAGCGAACAGG
rnacentral:rRNA from 1 species